rnacentral:rRNA from 1 species
GAUGAACGCUAGCUACAGGCUUAACACAUGCAAGUCGAGGGGCAGCAUGGGAGUUGCUUGCAAUUCCUGAUGGCGACCGGCGCACGGGUGAGUAACGCGUAUCCAACCUUCCCCCUGGUAGGGCAUAGCCCGUAGAAAUGCGGAUUAACACCCUAUGUUCUCCAAUGCAGGCAUCUAAGUUGGAGCAAAGAUUCAUCGCUAUGGGAUGGGGAUGCGUCUGAUUAGGUUGCAGGCGGGGUAACGGCCCACCUGGCCAACGAUCAGUAGGGGUUCUGAGAGGAAGGUCCCCCACAUUGGAACUGAGACACGGUCCAAACUCC